rnacentral:rRNA from 1 species
UAAGGGAUAUUGCGCCAAUGGGCGAAAGCCUGACGCAGCAACGCCGCGUGCGGGAUGACGGCCUUCGGGUUGUAAACCGCUUUUCCGGGGGAAGAGGGAGGACGGUACCCUGGGAAUAAGUCUCGGCUAACUACGUGCCAGCAGCCGCGGUAAAACGUAGGAGGCGAGCGUUAUCCGGAUUUACUGGGUGUAAAGCGCGUGCAGGCGGUUUAGCAAGUCGUGCGUGAAAGCGCUCUGGCUCAACCGGGCGAGGACGUGCGGAACUGCUGAACUAGAGGCAGGUAGAGGCGUGUGGAAUUCCGGGUGCAGUGGUGAAAUGCGUAGAGAUCCGGAGGAACACCAGUGGCGAAGGCGACGCGCUGGGCCUGACCUGACGCUAAGACGCGAAAGCAUGGGGAGC